rnacentral:rRNA from 1 species
GUGGGGAAUCUUGCGCAAUGGGCGAAAGCCUGACGCAGCCAUGCCGCGUGAAUGAUGAAGGUCUUAGGAUUGUAAAAUUCUUUCACCGGGGACGAUAAUGACGGUACCCGGAGAAGAAGCUCCGGCUAACUUCGUGCCAGCAGCCGCGGUAAUACGAAGGGGGCUAGCGUUGCUCGGAAUUACUGGGCGUAAAGGGCGCGUAGGCGGACAGCUUAGUCAGAGGUGAAAGCCCAGGGCUCAACCUUGGAAUUGCCAUUGAUACUGGCUGUCUUGAGUUUGGGAGAGGUGAGUGGAACUCCGAGUGUAGAGGUGAAAUUCGUAGAUAUUCGGAAGAACACCAGUGGCGAAGGCGACUCACUGGCCCAAUACUGACGCUGAGGCGCGAAAGCGUGGGGAGCAAACAGGAUUAGAAACCCCGGUAGUCC